rnacentral:rRNA from 1 species
AUUGAACGCUGGCGGCAUGCCUUACACAUGCAAGUCGAACGGCAGCACGGGUGCUUGCACCUGGUGGCGAGUGGCGAACGGGUGAGUAAUACAUCGGAACAUGUCCUGUAGUGGGGGAUAGCCCGGCGAAAGCCGGAUUAAUACCGCAUACGAUCUACGGAUGAAAGCGGGGGACCUUCGGGCCUCGCGCUAUAGGGUUGGCCGAUGGCUGAUUAGCUGGUUGGAGGGGUAAAGGCCUACCAAGGCGACGAUCAGUAGCUGGUCUGAGGGGACGACCAGCCACACUGGAACUGAGACACGGCCCAGCCUCCAACGGGAGGCAGCGGUGGGGAAUUUUGGACAAUGGGGGAAAGCCUGAUCAAGCAAUGCCGCGUGUGUGAAGAAGGCCUUCGGGUUGUAAAGCACUUUUGUCCGGAAAGAAAUCCUUGGCCCUAAUACGGUCGGGGGAUGACGGUACCGGAAGAAUAAGCACCGGCUAACUACGU